AUUGAACGCUGGCGGCAUGCCUUACACAUGCAAGUCGAACGGCAGCACGGGUGCUUGCCCCUGGUGGAGAGUGGCGAACGGGUGAGUAAUACAUCGGAACAUGUCCUGUAGUGGGGGAUAGCCCGGCGAAAGCCGGAUUAAUACCGCAUACGAUCUACGGAUGAAAGCGGGGGACCUUCGGGCCUCGCGCUAUAGGGUUGGCCGAUGGCUGAUUAGCUAGUUGGUGGGGUAAAGGCCUACCAAGGCGACGAUCAGUAGCUGGUCUGAGAGGACGACCAGCCACACUGGGACUGAGACACGGCCCAGACUCCUACGGGAGGCAGCAGUGGGGAAUUUUGGACAAUGGGCGAAAGCCUGAUCCAGCAAUGCCGCGUGUGUGAAGAAGGCCUUCGGGUUGUAAAGCACUUUUGUCCGGAAAGAAAUCCUUGGCCCUAAUACGGUCGGGGGAUGACGGUACCGGAAGAAUAAGCACCGGCUAACUACGUG
rnacentral:rRNA from 1 species